GACGAACGCUGGCGGCGUGCCUAAUACAUGCAAGUAGAACGCACAGUUUAUACCGUAGCUUGCUACACCAUAGACUGUGAGUUGCGAACGGGUGAGUAACGCGUAGGUAACCUGCCUGGUAGCGGGGGAUAACUAUUGGAAACGAUAGCUAAUACCGCAUAAUAUUAAUUAUUGCAUGAUAAUUAAUUGAAAGGUGCGAUUGCACCACUACCAGAUGGACCUGCGUUGUAUUAGCUAGUAGGUGAGGUAACGGCUCACCUAGGCGACGAUACAUAGCCGACCUGAGAGGGUGAUCGGCCACACUGGGACUGAGACACGGCCCAGACUCCUACGGGAGGCAGCAGUAGGGAAUCUUCGGCAAUGGACGAAAGUCUGACCGAGCAACGCCGCGUGAGUGAAGAAGGUUUUCGGAUCGUAAAGCUCUGUUGUAAGAGAAGAACGGGUGUGAGAGUGGAAAGUUCACACUGUGACGGUAUCUUACCAGAAAGGGACGGCUAACUACGUG
rnacentral:rRNA from 1 species